GACUGAAUGUGCAGGGAAAGUGAAACUGGGUUGAGAAGAGCAUGGCAAUCAGGAGGAUUCAGUUUUCAUAAGGAUGAGGCUGUCACAACCCUCAGGCUUGGGUAACUAUGAAUAAAGGUGUCAUAAGAAAUCACGUAUGUACAGGCGUUUGUGUGAACAUAGGUUUUCAUUGUAACUGCAUUUCAAAUGACUACAACUGUGAUUGCUGGUCAUAUAUGCAUCUCCUUUCCUGCUUCUCUGCAAGAAAUGGGAUGCUCAUCUGAUUACUAGGAAUCCCAGGAUCAUGGCUUGGUCAACCACUAAGAGAUGGGAAUAGCCUACAAAACUGGUGAGGCACAUUAAUUUAAAGACUACUGAUGGUCAUAUCCAGAAUUUGAGCUGAAGAACUGAGCAUUAGAUGUCCGCUACGAGGCUACUGUGAUCUCAGGGUCAAGUGAUAAGAUUAUGCAAGACUGAAAAAGUGGCUGUUUA